rnacentral:rRNA from 1 species
UAGGUGGCAAGCGUUGUCCGGAUUUACUGGGUGUAAAGGGCGUGUAGCCGGGCGUACAAGUCAGAUGUGAAAUCCCGCGGCUUAACCGCGGAACUGCAUUUGAAACUGUAUGUCUUGAGUAUCGGAGAGGCAGGCGGAAUUCCUAGUGUAGCGGUGAAAUGCGUAGAUAUUAGGAGGAACACCAGUGGCGAAGGCGGCCUGCUGGACGACAACUGACGGUGAGGCGCGAAAGCGUGGGGAGCAAA